rnacentral:rRNA from 1 species
AGAGUUUGAUCCUGGCUCAGGACGAACGCUGGCGGCGUGCCUAAACCAUGCAAGUCGAACGAGGUACCGGCCUUCGGGCCGGUGUCGAGUGGCGAACGGGUGCGUAACACGUGAGAAACCUGCCCUGGAGACCGGGAUAACCAGAGGAAACCCUGGCUAAUACCGGAUGCCCCCGGAUGGUCGCAUGACCAACCGAGGAAAUGCUCUGGCGCUCCGGGAGGGUCUCGCGGCCUAUCAGCUAGUUGGUGGGGUAACGGCCUACCAAGGCUACGACGGKUAGCUGGUCUGAKAGGACGAUCAGCCACACUGGGACUGAGACACGGCCCAGACUCCUACGGGAGGCAGCAGGUGGGAAUAUUGCGCAAUGGGCGAAAGCCUGACGCAGCAACGCCGCGUGGGGGAUGAAGGCUUUCGGGUUGUAAACCCCUUUCAGCAGGGACGAAAAUGACGGUACCUGCAGAAGAAGCCCCGGCCAACUACGUGCCAGCAGCCGCGGUAACACGUAGGGGGCAAGCGUUGUCCGGAUUUAUUGGGCGUAAAGAGCUCGUAGGCGGUUGCGUAAGUCGGAUGUGAAAACUCAGGGCUCAACCCGGAGACGCCAUCCGAUACUGCGGUGACUAGAGUCCGGUAGAGGAGCAUGGAAUUCCUGGUGUAGCGGUGAAAUGCGCAGAUAUCAGGAGGAACACCAGCAGCGAACGCGGUGCUCUGGGCCGGAACUGACGCUGAGGAGCGAAAGCGUGGGUAGCGAACAGGAUUAGAUACCCUGGUAGUCCACGCCGUAAACGUUGGGCACUAGGUGUGSGACCUACUUAACGGGUUCCGUGCCGUAGCUAACGCAUUAAGUGCCCGCCUGGGGAGUACGGCCGCAAGGCUAAACUCAAGGAAUUGACGGGGGCCCGCACAAGCGGCGGAGCAUGUUGCUAAUUCGAGGCAACGCGAGCAUCUACUGGAUGACAUGCACGGAAAAGCAUAGAGAUAUGUGUCUCGGGCCGUGCACAGGUGGUGCAUGGCUGUCGUCAGCUCGUGUCGUGAGAUGUGGGUUAAGUUCCGCAACGAGCUACA